UACGUAGGGUGCAAGCGUUGUCCGGAAUUAUUGGGCGUAAAGAGCUCGUAGGCGGUCUGUCGCGUCUGCUGUGAAAACUCAGGGCUUAACCCUGAGCUUGCAGUGGGUACGGGCAGGCUAGAGUUCGGUAGGGGAGACUGGAAUUCCUGGUGUAGCGGUGAAAUGCGUAGAGAUCGGGAGGAACACCUGUGGCGAAGGCGGCCCCCUGGGCCGGCCCUGACACUGAGACGCGAAGGCGUGGGGAGCGAACGGG
rnacentral:rRNA from 1 species